AAGUCGAGCGGCAGCGCGGGACUCGGGCAACUGAGCCCUGGCGGCGAGCGGCGAACGGGUGAGUAACACAUCGGAACGUAUCCCGUAGUGGGGGAUAACCCGGCGAAAGCCGGGCUAAUACCGCAUAUGCUCUACGGAGGAAAGUGGGGGACUUCGCAAGGGGCCUCACGCUAUGGGAGCGGCCGAUGUCCGAUUAGCUAGUUGGUGGGGUAAAGGCCUACCAAGGCGACGAUCGGUAGCUGGUCUGAGAGGAUGAUCAGCCACACUGGGACUGAGACACGGCCCAGACUCCUACGGGAGGCAGCAGUGGGGAAUUUUGGACAAUGGGGGCAACCCUGAUCCAGCCAUGCCGCGUGCGGGAAGAAGGCCUUCGGGUUGUAAACCGCUUUUAGUCGGGAAGAAAGGGUUCUCCUGAAUACGGAGGAUUUUUGACGGUACCGGCGGAAUAAGCACCGGCUAACUACGUGCCAGCAGCCGCGGUAAUACGUAGGGUGCGAGCGUUAAUCGGAAUUACUGGGCGUAAAGCGUGCGCAGGCGGUUCUCCAAGUCCGUUGUGAAAGCCCCGGGCUCAACCUGGGAAUGGCAGUGGAAACUAGGGGACUGGAAUCUGGCAGAGGGGGGUGGAAUGCCGCGUUUAGCAGUGAAAUGCGUAGAGAUGCGGCGGAACACCGAUGGCGAAGGCAGCCCCCUGGGCUGAGAUUGACGCUCAGGCACGAAAGCGUGGGGGAGCAAACAGGAUUAGAUACCCUGGUAGUCCACGCCCUAAACGAUGGCAACUAGGUGUUGGGGGAAGCGAUUUCCUGGUACCGCAGCUAACGCGUGAAGUUGCCCGCCUGGGGAGUACGGUCGCAAGAUUAAAACUCAAAGGAAUUGGACGGGGGACCCGCACAAGCGGUGGGAUGAUGUGGGAUUAAU
rnacentral:rRNA from 1 species